rnacentral:sRNA from 1 species
UACUGAGCUGGCGCUAUGACCCCGAAGU